CCUGACUGUGCUGUUUUCUAGAGCUGGAGCAACAUAAUUGCAAGUAUUGGUGUCACAAAAGCAGAAAUUGCCAUGUAAAGCUGAAUAUGUUUUACCUCCCAGAGAUGAAAUAGAAAUCAGCUGCUCACAGUAGGAUUUCAGGAAGAUUACUGCCUGAAAACAAAAAAUAGGGAGGUUUCUAGAAUGUUAUUAAAUUCCCUACAUUCUAUAGAGACCUGGAGAGGGUCCUGAUCUGUGGAUAACAACCAGUAUGUGCCCAUGCUGCUGCACCAUGAAACUCACCUACCAUUGAGGAAGAACACAGUUUUGAAAAACUCCUUAGUACAUUGUUUGUCUCCUGUGACGUCAUGAUUGAAGUAGCUUUAGUUUACAUGACUCUUACCUGCACAAAGCCCACAACAGAGCAGUGACAUGGACAAUUUAG